CAUCAUUAAAAAGACACCAAAAUGACAUAGCAUCCUCUUGAAAAUUUUUGUGUUUAUUUUUGCAAUAUAUCAAUCCAAUCCAAUAGCAAAUUAUGUUUAUUAAACAGGCAUAACUUAUAUUGCGACAAAUAAAAAUAAACAAUAAUUAAAGAUGGGUCAAAUUACUGAAAAUCCGUCAUCUAUAAAAAUGAAGAAAAGUUCAUCUGGUAUAAAGAAAACUCGAUCGAAAUUAAAAGGAAAAGGUGAAUCGAUAACGCUAAGUGAUCCAAAAGUCCAGGUUGUCCUAUUGGUAGGAUUAUUAGCAGUGCUGGCCUUAGCUCUUUGGUUUGGGUUUAAGAACGGCUGCAUAGGACGUCGACGACGCAGAAGAAGAUCUUGUAGUUGCAUACACUAGAACGUACUUACUCAUGAAAUAGUUAACCCAAAAAUACGGAUAUGAUAAGGAUAUGUUUGGUAUUAAUGAAACAUAAAAUUACAUAACAGAUUCGGUCCCAUGAACGAAACACCAAGUCGCAGUUUUAUAAUCACUAAAAAGGAAAUAAGAAAAAUCCCAACGAUUCUACAAACUACGGAUAUCGAAUGAACAUACUAUUUGGGUAUUUGAGAAUCAUCGGAAGAAUCUAUCGCGCUGUUACAGUCUGCAGUAAUUACCAAUAGAAAAAGUCAUUCAUCGUAACCAAAAAAUUACUUAUAAAACUCGUGCUUCGCCCUCCAUAAUCCCAACAAAUCAAUUGCACCCGUAAACAUCAAACAAAACCCACCAUGGACGUUGUGAUCUUUUUAUGUGUAUAGAGGUUUUCGCAAGAUCAUUUGAGAGCGAGAGAGACAGUCGAGACCAUUUCCGUACACGCUAUCGUCCUGCAACGACCACGAUGAUUGUUGCCUAGCGAAACAAAUUUUUGUGGAAAGACUCCGUAGUAGUAGCAGAUAAAGUAGAAGUCGUCGGAAAAGGUGACGUGUAAGCUGUACCUGAAUUUAACUCAUCCAUGAAGGCAAAUCUCCAGAAUUACACAUUUUACACGAUAUUAGCUGUGGUUAUUAACCAAAAAUAAUAAAGACUUGUUAAAGGUCUUAGUUACCAAGUCAUAAAAUCCAAAAAAAAAAUCUUAACCUAAAACGUAAAUAUUUGUAACAGUGAAACGAAAAAGUAAAAA